rnacentral:rRNA from 1 species
UAGGGAAUCUUCCGCAAUGGGCGCAAGCCUGACGGAGCAACGCCGCGUGAGCGAUGAAGGUUUUCGGAUCGUAAAGCUCUGUUGCCAGGGACGAAGUUAGUGGAGAGGGAAUGCUACACUAUUGACGGUACCUGAGAAGAAAGCCCCGGCUAACUACGUGCCAGCAGCCGCGGUAAUACGUAGGGGGCAAGCGUUGUCCGGAAUUAUUGGGCGUAAAGCGCGCGCAGGCGGUUUAGUAAGUCUGAUGUGAAAGGCAAGGGCUCAACCCUUGUUAGCAUUGGAAACUGGUAGACUAGAGUGCAGCAGAGGAAAGUGGAAUUCCACGUGUAGCGGUGAAAUGCGUAGAGAUGUGGAGGAACACCAGUGGCGAAGGCGACUUUCUGGGCUGUAACUGACGCUG